AUACGUAGGGGGCUAGCGUUAUCCGGAAUUACUGGGCGUAAAGGGUGCGUAGGUGGUUUCUUAAGUCAGAAGUGAAAGGCUACGGCUCAACCGUAGUAAGCUUUUGAAACUAAGAGACGUGAGUGCAGGAGAGGAGAGUAGAAUUCCUAGUGUAGCGGUGAAAUGCGUAGAUAUUAGGGGGAAUACCAGUUGCGAAGGCGGCUCUCUGGACUGUAACUGACACUGAGGCACGAAAGCGUGGGGAGCAAACAGGAUUAGAUACCCUGGUAGUCCACGCCGUAAACGAUGAGUACUAGCUGUCGGGGGUUACCCCCCUCGGUGGCGCAGCAAACGCAUUAAGUGCUCCGCCUGGGGAGUACGCACGCAAGUGUGAAACUCAAAUGAAUUGACGGGG
rnacentral:rRNA from 1 species